rnacentral:rRNA from 1 species
UACGUAGGGGGCUAGCGUUGUCCGGAUUUAUUGGGCGUAAAGAGCGUGUAGGCGGCCAGGUAGGUCUGGUGUGAAAACUCGAGGCUUAACCUCGAGAUGUCAUCGGAAACCAUCUGGCUAGAGUCCGGAAGAGGAGAGUGGAAUUCCCAGUGUAGUGGUGAAAUACGUAGAUAUUCGCAAGAACACCAGUGGCGAAGGCGGCUCACUGGCCCGGUACUGACGCUGAGGUGCGAAAGCGUGGGGAGCAAACAGG